AACGAACGCUGGCGGCAUGCCUAACACAUGCAAGUCGAACGAGAUCUUCGGAUCUAGUGGCGCACGGGUGCGUAACACGUGGGAAUCUGCCCUUGGGUUCGGAAUAACUCUCCGAAAGGAGUGCUAAUACCGGAUGAUGUCGAGAGACCAAAGAUUUAUCGCCCAGGGAUGAGCCCGCGUAGGAUUAGCUAGUUGGUGGGGUAAAGGCCUACCAAGGCGACGAUCCUUAGCUGGUCUGAGAGGAUGAUCAGCCACACUGGGACUGAGACACGGCCCAGACUCCUACGGGAGGCAGCAGUGGGGAAUAUUGGACAAUGGGCGAAAGCCUGAUCCAGCAAUGCCGCGUGAGUGAUGAAGGCCUUAGGGUUGUAAAGCUCUUUUACCCGGGAUGAUAAUGACAGUACCGGGAGAAUAAGCCCCGGCUAACUCCGUGCCAGCCGCCGCAGUAACAC
rnacentral:rRNA from 1 species